rnacentral:misc_RNA from 1 species
UGACGUGAUGUGUACUGAGUGCCACUACUAAUAAAUAUUUCGAAAAAAAAACAUAAAACUUCGGAUUUUAAACUUAUUACGUGUUUGAUUAGUGCCAAAAUCAAUCAUUAAUUGACUCUCGGUCCUUUUUAAUUAAACUUAACGUCGCGAUGCAUCAAAAUAGACGUCGAAAAAAGCGGCCAAACUAUGGCCUGAGGACAGUGGAAGUGAUGAGGGGCCCAAAUGGAUUCGGUUUUACGAUUUCAGGUCAGCAACCGUGUAUUUUGUCUUGUAUCGUCGGAAAAUCGCCCGCGGACCAGGCGGGCCUUCGCGCCGGUGAUUUCCUCAUUUCAGUGAAUGGAAUUCCAGUGUCCAAAAUGGCUCAUGAUGCAGUUGCUAGCCUCAUUAGCAACUGUGUGGGCCCCAUUAAGAUCACCAUCGCGGAAAAUUAUUAUUCGGAUAGUAGCGAUGAUGAAUUAGAUGGUGGUAGAUUUGUUGGGAGGAAACCCAAGUAUAUGCACAAGCCUAGACAGUAUAGAAGACCACAUAAAGGUAUUACUGUUGAGCCGAAUGAUAAAACUGUCUCAAAAGUAAGGGAUCAUAUUAUAAAGCCCAGUACAAGUGCUAAUUUAUAUGAGGAACAAGAUCCUAGCCCAAAUGUAUCUUUAAAUGUAUCCAAUUCUCUGCCAAUGGAUGAUGAAGGAGGUCCUAUAGAAUAUAAGGCCUUAAUAGGUUAUUUAGGAACAAUAGAAAUGCCUAAGCAACUAUUGCCCAACUCUCGUUUACAAACUGUUUGCAACUGUAUUAAGAGACUGAGACAAGAAAAACGAACUCCCACAACUGUAUUAAUGACCAUUUUACCUACAUGCCUAACCUUAAAGAAUUCUGGUAACCAUAUAAUUGCUAUUUACCCUACUAAUCGUGUUGUUUAUGCUGGCUCACCCACUGAUAAAGAAUCCAGGUAUUUUGGCAUUGUAACAAGCGCAAUGUCAGAAAAUAAGCCUGUUAACAAAAACUGCAAGACUGAUGUAGAUAUUUCUAACAGCUGUCAUGUUUUUGUAGUAGACUCCAAAAUAGUAGAUCAUCAAAUCCAUAUAAAUAGAGCUGAGAAUUUCCGAAUAGUGUGCACUCCAGAUCCAACUACAGCAGCUUGCUUAGAGUUUCCCAGGAGUGCAUUGUAUGUAGUAAAUUUAAUUCAAACAAUUUAUAAGUUGCCUAAUGAGGGUGCUCAGUUAAAUGAGCAAAAUAACCCAAUAAUGGCAAACUCACCACAACCAAGUGCCUCAAGUAAUUCUGACUCUGGAAUAGGGUAUAGGGAUGAUUGUGGAAAUGUAAGUGAUAGAAUUUUGGUAGUAGAAUUCCCUACUUAUCGCCCACAGAUUAUCAAUAACAAUAAAAAACCACAUGUGAACAAUAGGCCACAGGGCAUCAAUGGCAAUGACUUUCCAGAGAAUUUAUUUGACCUGAAACAUUCUGGUAUACAAUUAAAUAAUAAAAGCCCUUAUAAAAAUAGCAAACCUGAAACAAUUGCAGAGGCUAAACAUUUCAACAAUUUGAACAAUAUCAGGGUAUUUGAUAAUAUUAGGAACCAUUUUGAAUGCAACUCUGGGCUGUUACAAAAGCAUAAUAAUGAUGAGCAUGUAAGGUUGAAUGGUAGGAUUGUUUUAGAUGGUAAUGAGCAUUCUCCGAAGUCUUGUCAUGCUGUGAGGUAUGGUGAUGUAGACUCUGGCCUGACCUAUAUAGAAUGCCCUGUCGAUGUACCAUUAACCGACCUUUCUGUUAAAGAAUGCAUGGAUAAGGACAUUCCUGAUUUUAAGAGUUCCACAGAUGAAGUGUCAGUGCAAAGUUCAAAAAGUGUGGACAUAGGAAAUUUGAUACAAAUUUUCAGAGUGCCUUUUGAGUCUCGGAAGGCUAAAAAGCAGCUUAAACUAAUGCAUAGCUGCGAGAAUAUUGAUUUUGAGGACAAAUUGAGUCCCAAUAAAGUGUAUGAAGUGGCAAAGACAAAUUAUAGUUGUGAAGAAUUGAAUAAGCCAGAGUUAUAUGAAGGGAAAUUCUGUUAUGGUAGCCUUCAGAACCUCACCAGCUGGGUAGAAAAUGACAAGCCAAGGAGGUCAAUUGUUGUGCAAAGUGAACCAGAUGUAAGAAUCAACAGGAACAUGUUGAAGGUAUUGGUUUGGUAAUGAAAUGAUGGGGGCACCAGCUGAAUAUGGUUUAUAUGGUGAAGGUUACUAACAAAAUAUUUUAGUUAGGGUUUAGUACCAUAUUUGAAAUUGCAUGCUGAAAAACAGUAGAGAUGGUCAUCAUCAUCAGGGGACCGGUGUGGUGGUGGCUCUACGACCAGUGGCCUCUGUUACGCCUUUCAAACGUUUUCACACCCUCGGCGCUUCGCGUAGACGCAUUGCCUCCCAGUUUCUGUCCAAAAGACCAUUUUCGAC